CACCGGUUAAGUAGAGUUAGUAGUUAAGUAACGGUCAUCCUUAGAGAGUAGUAGUAGUAAGAAGGGUGGUCGUUACAACUUUUAUAGAUACUUUCACUCGCACAUUUCAGAAAAAAGAUAAGACUUGGAGCGGGGACAGAGCUAAAGCAAUUAAGGAAAAAUAUGUUGAGUUAGAGGUAGCACAGAGAUGUUCAGCUUCUGCUAGUUCUGAUAUUGAGGGGUCUGAGCCGUCUGUUGGUAGUGAUUUCAAUUUAUGGCUACAGGCGAGUGGGGGCCCAAAAAGGGGAGGAAAGAUAUUCGGAAUGGGUUCAUUGAGCAGAACCCAUAGAGUUGGUCGUAUAUCUUCUUCCUCCUCCUCACAUACCCAGCAGAUGCAUAACUUGACUGAAGAGGUUUCCCAGUUGAAGGGCAUUAUAAAGAACAGGGAUGAAGAAAUGAGAGAAAUGCGCCGACAACAAGAUUUUAUUAUGCGACAUCUUCAGUUAAGUUCUGUUCCAAGUCAUAUUCCUUCCGGUGACGGUGAUGAUGGUGAUGAUGGUGAUGAUGAUAAUGGCGGUGGUGGUGAUUCUUGAUAAAUUUAUGGAAAAGAAGCACGGAAGGUGACCGAAGCUCCUGAGACAUGAUGAUAUGUAUUUUAUUUUCUUUUGGAUGUCUUGUUACAUUUGUUGCUUGGAUUAUUAUAGAACUUUCAUGUUUGAUAUUAUGAGUUGUUGAACUUGUUUGGAUUUUGGUUAGUUGUAUAUAUGAAUAUGAUGUGUUUAGUUUUGGGA